UGCGUCCUACGGGGCGCAGCAGUAGGGAAUUUUCGUCAAUGGGCGCAAGCCUGAACGAGCAAUGCCGCGUGAACGAGGAAGGUCUUCGGAUCGUAAAGUUCUGUUGAAGGGGAAAAAGAGCGGAGAGAGGAAAUGAACUCCGAUUGAUAUUACCCUUCGAGGAAGUCACGGCUAACUACGUGCCAGCAGCCGCGGUAAUACGUAGGUGGCGAGCGUUAUCCGGAAUGAUUGGGCGUAAAGGGUGCGUGGGCGGCCUGCUAAGUCUGGAGUGAAAGGUACAGGCUCAACCGGUACAGGCGCUGGAA
rnacentral:rRNA from 1 species